rnacentral:rRNA from 1 species
AUUGAACGCUGGCGGCAUGCCUUACACAUGCAAGUCGAACGGCAGCACGGGUGCUUGCCCCUGGUGGCGAGUGGCGAACGGGUGAGUAAUACAUCGGAACAUGUCCUGUAGUGGGGGAUAGCCCGGCGAAAGCCGGAUUAAUACCGCAUACGAUCUACGGAUGAAAGCGGGGGACCUUCGGGCCUCGCGCUAUAGGGUUGGCCGAUGGCUGAUUAGCUAGUUGGUGGGGUAAAGGCCUACCAAGGCGACGAUCAGUAGCUGGUCUGAGAGGAAGACCAGCCACACUGGGACUGAGACACGGCCCAGACUCCUACGGGAGGCAGCAGUGGGGAAUUUUGGACAAUGGGCGAAAGCCUGAUCCAGCAAUGCCGCGUGUGUGAAGAAGGCCUUCGGGUUGUAAAGCACUUUUGUCCGGAAAGAAAUCCUUGGCUCUAAUACAGUCGGGGGAUGACGGUACCGGAAGAAUAAGCACCGGCUAACUACGUG